rnacentral:rRNA from 1 species
CGAACGCUGGCGGCGUGCUUAACACAUGCAAGUCGAACGCGAAAGGGACUUCGGUCCUGAGUAAAGUGGCGCACGGGUGAGUAACGCGUAGAUAACCUGUCUUCAUGUCUGGAAUAAUACGCCGAAAGGGGUACUAAUACCGGAUAUUCUUUGCUUUUCAUAAGUUAUGCAAGCAAAGGUGGCCUCUGCAUAUGCUACUGCAUGAAGAGGGGUCUGCGUACCAUUAGCUAGUAGGUGGGGUAAUGGCCUACCUAGGCGACGAUGGUUAGCGGGUCUGAGAGGAUGAUCCGCCACACUGGCACUGGAACACGGGCCAGACUCCUACGGGAGGCAGCAGUGAGGAAUAUUGCGCAAUGGGGAAACCCUGACGCAGCGACGCCGCGUGAGUGAAGGAAGGCCUUCGGGUCGUAAAGCUCUGUCAAGAGGAAAGAAGUGUACAAUGGCUAAUACCUGUUGUAUUUGACGGUACCUCUAAAGGAAGCACCGGCUAACUCCGUGCCAGCAGCGGC